UGCUCUGUUGAACUCUGCCUUUCAACUAUUCUCGAGAAAAUUCCAUCUUUCUAGCAUAUAUUCAGCAAAUAAGGACAUAAUCAGCAGAUCUUCUAAACAGGACAUAAUCUGAAAAGCUAUUACAGCAUAAUCAUUAAAAAUGAGAGUGUGCUAACAUAAUUAGUACAUGUAUGAGAGUUAUAUUUCACGGAUGAGAGUUAUAUAAUAUAACAUAGGAAGAUCCUCUAUCCACACUAAGUUGAGAUGAAUACCAAGUAAUAGAAGUUCACAUGUUCAAGUGAUUGUGAAUAUACUCACUCAAAAUUAUCAUGCAGCGUUCCAAUGUCUGAAGUGCCAGGAAAUCUGUUAACAAAGCACAGAGGUGACUCUGCAGAUCUGCAAGAUUGUAACAGCGAUUGUGAGAAACAGUAUAAGAGAAAUGCUGCUUAACAUAUAUAUAACCACCGGUACAUGCUCUACUUUCCAGUUUGCAACUUUUCAGGAAGAGCAACACUGUAGCCCUGCACAUUGAAUUAUCAAUGAUAGUUUAGUCUUAAUAAGCAUUUUUCCCAAACCUUAAUUAUGUCCUAGUGUUCAAGGGAAAUGCUAAGGUGAAGUCAAACAUGCACAGUUGAAAUUGAGAAGCAUAGGCAGUGUUCUCACGAGUACACUGAACCAUCAGCGACAGUUUGUUUCAAAAUAAGCCAUUCCUCAGACACAUGCAUUGUUGUCCCUCGGGUACGUGCCAUUUAAACACGAAUACGCAAGGCUCCACAGAGAACCCAUACGCUUAGCAAUUGACCGAAAUUUUUGACAAUUUCUAUUAGGAUCUUAUAGGGUCAAAAUGGGGUAUACAAUUCAUAACAAAACUGCUGCCUCCAUAUUCCAGAUCAGGAUAUGGAUACGUGCCAUUUAAACUCAAAUAUGCAAAGCACCACGUACGAACCCAUACUCUUAGCAAUUGGCCGACAAAUUUGACAUUAGUAUUUCUGGCCAAAGAAUACAUCUGAGGGGGAUAAAGUAACGCGUGACAUAUGUAUCGCAGAUCAAAUUCUAACGUUCCAAUAGACUAGAGGAAGAUUUCAGUGCUUCUAAUCACCCCCUUGAAGUUUAUAUUCGUGCUCCAGUAAUCAUCUUGCGAACUCAAAAUUAGAAGGAUGGAUGCUUGGUGAAGUAGGAUUCAGAUGGCCCCUCUAAAGGAAUCGUCCUUCUAUUAUGAUUCACCGUCUUAAAAUUUCAAAUUGAGCUAUUCUCCUUAUCUUUUAGUUUCCUAUUCCAUUGUCUGCUGUAAAGGACCAACAUACAUAAUCCAUCACAGGAUUUUAAAACCCAUUAUUUAUAUUGUCGGUGUACAAAAGUAUGGGCUCUCCUUUGUACCCCUUUACUUGUGCACGGGCAGUCAGAGCCGCACCUGCGGCCACACUUAGCAUGGCAGAGGAGGGAAACCGGAGCACAAGACAACCAAAGCAACGCCAAGACAGAAACACAAAGAGCAGAGGGGCGAGGUGAACUCCCCCGGCAAGGCCCUUGCCGGGGCGGCCUCCACAGCCCCGGCAAGAGUCUUGCCGGGGCAACUUGCCCGACACCAGCAGAGCCGCCACCCUUGAGCCCAAGCGUUCCAACACCAUCAACCACAUUGGAAAAAAGACUCGGGAGGCACCUCCAUGGUGGCAUGCAGAUCUUUGUGAAGACCAGAAGCACACAAGAUCAGAUGAGAAUCAGAAGACGACGAUCCUCGGCAAGAUCCUUGCCGAGGAAACCCACGAGACCCCCGGCAAGACCCUUGCCGGGGAUGACCACGAUGCCGCGGCAAGACCCUUGCUGGGGCCCCGACAAGACUCUUGCCGAAGACAUCCGCGGAGUCGCCGCCCGGCCCGCGCCCGCCAAGAUUCCACCGCCCUUCCCAUACGGCUACCAGCCCACCAACUAGGCGAGCACCUGCGUGGCGACGAGCGGCCUCUAGGCCAACUCAGCAAGCACCUGUGUGGUGGCAUGCAGAUCUUCGUGAAGACCCUACCACCACGCCAGCUCAGCAGCCUGCCAGCCUACAUGGCGCUGCAUGCCUCGCUGGCCUGGACGCGUGUCGGAGCAAGACGGAGCGGCGACGGACGGGACAGGCCUCGUUACCGUCCCCAAUAAAGCAAGGGGACACCUAAGGAGCGCAUUUAAUGCAUUCUGUCCCGUAAUGGCAGGCGAUAAGCUUGUACAUUGUAUACCUUUCCACCUCCUAUGUGCCACUGUGGUAACCCCUUUGUCUAUAAAAGGAGGCCCGCGGCAUACUGAGAGAGGAUUCGGAUCUUUUGGACGAUGCACGCACCGUAGCUAGUUCAAGAGCUCAAGAACACUCAAAUAUACACAAAAAGCAGGACUAGGGUAUUACGCAUCCUCGCGGCCCGAACCUGGGUAAACAAUCCUUGUGCUGGCUUCUAGACCCGCUCUUUGCACAGCCCCGCGCCUGCCAACCGUAGCAAAAAGGAUUCCCAGUGAUCCCGUAGGUGUCGUUUCCCCCGACAUCUUUGGCGCGCCAGGUAGGAGGCGCAAGCUGUGAAAAUCCGGUCUAGCAGUUGGUUUAGCAGUUCUUCGUCGCCAUGGCUCCAAAGAAGAAGACGAUCAUGGCUCGGUUCAUCUGGGGCCGAACGGCCCGUACAAGUGCGGGCGAGCGGCGGGGCGGUCGCGGAUGGGAGCCGAGGCACGGCCCGCGGACACCCACAUCGCUCUGGCAGUCAAAGCCUGGCGAGCGGCGUCGUACGUGCGCGAGACGACAGGCCGCACGCCGCCAGAUCCAGAGACGGAGUCGUGCCCCCCGCAGGCGGCGCGGGGCCCUCCAGGGGUGGCGUCGUGCCACCUACAGGCGGCACGGUGACUUCCAAGACGCCUACGCCGGCGCCCGCAAUGCACUCUUCUCAGGUCGUGCGCGACGAGCAGCGCCACCGGACUAGUGACCCCGGGCGCCGCCGCGGGAAGAGUCCCGUGCGCCAUUCACGGGACGUAGAAGACCAACAUGCACGCCGAGGCGCUGGCGAAAAUGGCGCGCAGCCGCAAGGCCGUGAUAGAGCUCCUUCUAACGUGGUUAGAAGUCGGAGCGUGUCACGGUCCACGCAGCUUUCGCCGCCACCCGCGCCAGCGGAAGCUUUGGCGCGCGCGCAAUUACUCCUCGACUUCCCUCCUGCUGCGGAAAAGCUCGACGAGUGGAGAGCCACCAUCCGGAGCCUCGUCAGCAUCACCAACAAGGACGAGCCGCGACCCGCGGGGCCCUCCGGCCGACGCUCCGUCGAGCCACCGCAUGCCAGUGGUAGAAGGACCGGAGGUGCUGCGCCUAUGGUGCACUCUCCUCCACGCCAGCUUCUGCCGGUGCCGAUCCGUCGAGAUGACGCUUGUGAUAACAUUUUCAUAGCGUCGUCCGACCCACGGACCCACCGCGAUCAACGCCAAGUUCUCCGAGAGCGAGCCCAUGAAGACGCUCGAACCACCAUCGAGCGGCGGCGCGAAACACGCCAUCAGUCAGAUAGGCAGGCAGGGCCCACUAUGGACCACCCAGCACCGGGGGGCUCUGGUGGCCUACCUUACGAGGUAGGCUGCCCAGCUUUUACCCGUGAGCUGCGGCAGUUCCAGUGGCCCACUCACCGCAUGUUCAAGCCUGAUGUCGGCGAGAAGUACAACGGCAAGACUCACCCGUUAGAGUUCCUCAGCAUCUACACCAUCGCAAUGCAAGCUGCUGGGGCUCGCGACGACAAGGUGCUCGCUAAUUACUUCCCGUUUGCACUUAAACCCAAUGUUAUGUCAUGGUUGAUGCACUUGCCGGCGGAUUCCAUUUCUUCCUGGUCGGAUUUGUGCCAUGAGUUUGUUGGCGCCUUUACUGGAGGCCACCAAGCUCAUGGCCAAGCAAGCGAUUUGCAUGUCAUCCCCCAGAAAGAAGGCGAGAACCUGCGCAAGUACAUACAGAGAUUCAGCCGGGUGCAGUACAACAUCCCAGACGUUCAUCCCGCUGCUGUCAUCAGCGCGUUCCAUCAGAAUGUGCGGAACCGCAAGAUGCGCGAAGAGCUGGCGAUGAACAAGGUCAAAGAUGUGGCGGAACUCUACGUUCUGGCCGAUAGAUGUGCUCCUGCUGAAGAGGGGAGGAAGUACCCCGGCAAGGACACCGGUGCGGAGACCGACUCCACAGACGAAGACACCGCCGCCCCGACGAAAAAGGGCCGGCGCCGCAAUAGGAAGCGCAAGGGCAAGAUUGUGCUUGCCGUUGAGGGAUCCGGCGAGCUCGGCGCCGCCAAAAAGGCCAAGGCUGACGACCCCGGCAAGGAGAUUGCCGGGUGCGCCGCCUGCCGGGCCUUGGCGGCCGCCGACAAGCCAGGAGGCUCCGACAAGCAGUACUGCAAGAUCCACCGCACCAAGGGCCACGACCUCCAGAACUGCCGACAAGUUAAGGUGCUUGCUGAGAAGCAAAAAGCUGAGUAUGAGAGGCGGGACAAGAAGAAGGGUCAGGAUGGUGCCGAGGGGUUCGGCAAGAAGCGUGGCGGCCAAGCAGGUCGCCGUGGCAAAGAUAACCAACAAGAAAGGCCCGCUCGGGGCCGUGACAAGAAAGAGGAGGAUGAUGAUCACGACGAGGACGACGAGUCCGGUGAGCACGAGUUCCAGAAGGCUACAGCGGCUAUGUGCGUCGACGGUGGCGCCUCGUUGCACACCUCACACCGCCAGCUGAAGCAGUGGGCGCGUGAGGUCGCUGCGGCAGAGCCGUCGUUCGAUGCCCAGAAGCCACUGAAGUGGUCCCGCACACCCAUUGUUUUCGACACCGAGGAUCACCCUGACCGCACAACUGCGGUUGGGUGUUUGCCGUUGUUGGUCUCACCAACAAUACACAACCUCAAGGUGACGAAAGUGCUGGUUGACGGUGGGGCCGGUCUCAACCUGAUCUCGCCCGCUGUGAUCAAGAAGCUGCAGAUUCCUGAUGGAGACCUCGAAGAGACGGGCACGUUUCAAGGGGUCAACCCGGGAAGGAGUCAGCCCAAAGGUAAAAUCACGCUGCCCGUUACAUUUGGGGGCGAGCUGAACUAUAGGACGGAGAAGAUCGUCUUCGAUGUCGCCGAGAUCCCCUUGCCAUACAAUGGGAUGCUUGGCCGCCCAGCGCUGGCCAAGUUCAUGGCGGCGUCCCACUACGCCUACAACACGUUGAAGAUGCCGGGGUCGCUGACCAUCAUCACCGUCCCCUCUGACAAGAAAGACGCACUCAUCUGCGCCGACCAACUCUACCGAGAGGCAGUUGCAGCAACUGCCGCCAGGGCACUUGCUCCUGCCGCUGAAGCUCUAGGGAGGAAGAAGGCCAGCAAGACUCCUUCCGGCAAGACCUCUUGCACCCACUCCGGCAAGCGCACCUCUUCGGAGUGUUGUGCUCCCGUUGAGGACGUGCCAGAGAGCUCCACCGGCAAGAGCAAGAAGUCCAAGGCUACACCACCGGAAACCAAGAAGGUGUCCGUCAAGGAGGACGGCACGGGCGGGGCUUUCACUAUAAGCUCCACCCUCGACAGCAAAUAGGAAAGCGUGCUCUCGCCUUCCUGCGGGCGAAUGUCGAUGUAUUUGCAUGGCAAGCAUCCGACAUCCCCGGCGUUCCCAGGGAGGUGAUUGAGCACCAUCUUGCUGUCUGUCCUCACGCGCGGCCCGUCAAGCAGAAGGUCAGGAAGCAAGCUUUGGAGCGGCAAGAGUUCAUCAUUGAAGAGAUCAGGAAGUUGGAGGCGGCAUGCCUGGUAAGAGGAGUACUCCACCCACGUGGUUGGCCAAUCCGGUAGUGGUGCGUAAGGCAAAUGGGAAGUGGAGGCUGUGUAUUGACUACACAGACAUCAAUAAAGCCUGUCCAAAGGAUCCUUUCCCUCUGCCACGCAUCGACCAGAUUGUAGACUCCACUACCGGGUGUGACCUGCUGCCAUUCCUCUAUGCCUAUUCAUGGUACCACCAGAUCUUCAUGUUGAAGGCAGACGAAGAGAAGACCGCGUUCAUCACCCCAUGUGGUACGUACUGUUUUGUACGAAUGCCUUUCGGGUUGAAGAGCGCUGGUUCGACUUUUGCCCGAGCAGUCCAGAUUGGUUUUGAGCCCCAGCUGCAUAGAAAUAUGGAAGCUUAUAUGGAUGACAUAGUGGUCAAAACCAAGGACAGGGCCACGCUCGUGCAAGAUUUAGAAGAGACAUUCGCAAACCUGCGCAAGAUAAACCUCAAGCUCAACCCAGAGAAGUGCGUGUUCGGUGUCCCCUCCGGCAAACUUUUCGGGUUCUUUGUGUCUCAACGCGGAAUCGAAGCAAAUCCUGACAAGAUCAAAGCGAUUGAGCAGAUUGAGGCACCGAAACGGGUCAAGGACGUUCGUAAGCUCGCCGGUUGUGUUGCUGCCCUGAGUAGGUCCAUCUCCAAAUCUGCUGAGCGCGCCCUCCCCUUUUUCAAAGUUUUUAAAAAGGAGGGUCAAGUAAAAUGGACUCCGGAGGCAGAGGCAGCAAUGCAAGAUUUGAAGAGGUACCUCUCCUCCAUGCCAAUACUAGUCACGCCUAAACCACAAGAGCCGUUGUUGCUGUACUUAGCAGCAACGAAUCAAGUGGUCAGUGCUGCGUUGGUGGCGCAGAGGGAACCUGAGGGAGAAGCAGCAGCUGCAGCAGAGCCGACGGAUGGCGUGCCGGGGGCUUCCCCGGCAGAGCCUGAUGCCGGCAAACCAGAAUCCCCGGCAAGGCCCGAACCCGACGAGGCAGAGCUUGAGCGGAUGGGCGAAGUGGGACAGAAGAAGAAGAUGGUGCAGCAUCCGGUGUAUUUUGUCAGUUCCCUCUUGCAGGGGGCUAGGUCAAGAUAUUCUGGAAUGCAGAAGCUGCUUUUCGGCCUUCUCAUGGCCUCGAGAAAGCUGCGCCACUAUUUCCAAGCGCACGAGAUCACCGUCGUCACCCACCUCCCUUUGCAACGGAUUUUGCACAACCCAGAUGCGACAGGGAGGAUUGUGGAGUGGGCACUGGAGCUGUCAAGCUUUGGCCUCAGAUUUGAAAGUACUUCAACAAUCAAGAGCCGAGCUUUGGCGGAGUUCAUAGCAGAGUGGACCGCAACGCCCGACGAGGAGAUCCAAGAGACCACCCUUCUCGGCAAGGAGAUGAGCAGUGAGUGGAUUAUGUACUUUGACGGAGCUUUCUCACUCCAAGGCGCUGGUGCUGGCGUGCUACUCGUCGCACCCACCGGAGAGCACCUCAAGUACGUAAUCCAGAUGCACUUCCCCCGGGAAAAAUCAACGAACAAUACGGCGGAGUACGAGGGGUUGCUUGCCGGUCUUAGGAUCGCGGCAGACCUCGGAAUCAAGAAGCUCAUCAUCAGAGGUGAUUCGCAGCUCGUCGCCAAGCAAGUCAACAAAUAUUACCAGAGCCCGUUGAUGGAGGCCUACGUGAAUGAAGUGAGGAAGUUGGAAGAACGUUUCGACGGCCUACAGGCAGAACAUGUUCCCCGAGCGGAGAACAGCAUUGCCGACGACCUGUCGAAACGCGCUGCCCUCAAGUUGCCUGUGGAACCAGGUACCUUUGUACUUCAGUUAGUACAACCAUCCGUAGAACCAUCAGCAGGGCAGAACAAGAGAAGGAAGAUAAGCCCCGGCAAGUACCUUCCCGCUGAGCUCCCAGGAGCCGCCGGCAAGGAGGUUGCCGGGUACCCCGAGCUUGCCGAGGGGCAACUAUUUCCGACGGGGCCCCAGGCCCUGACCGUAGAGACAGCUCCCCCUGCGGCCGGAGAUGUGCCUUUGGUCCUUGCCGUCGAGCCUCAGGCUCCGGCAUGGGCACAACAUACCGUUCAAUUCCUCCAAACAGGGGAGCUUCCUGAGGAACAGGAAGAAGCGGAGAAAGUAGCCCGUCGGUCUGCCAUGUAUCAGUUCAUUGACAAUGUUCUAUACAGAAAAAGGCCGAAUGGUGUGAAAUUGAAGUGCAUUCCCCGAGAGGAAGGACUGGAGCUGUUGGCAGAGAUACACGGAGGCAUAUGUGGCUCCCACAUAGGGUCGAGGGCCCUUGCCGGCAAGGCAUUCCAGCAAGGUUUCUUCUGGCCCACUGCCCUCCAGGAUGCAACGGCACUAGUAACCAAGUGUGAAGCGUGUCAGUUCCAUUUGAAGAAGCUUCAUCAACCAGCCCAAGCCCUUCAAACAAUCCCUCUCUCCUGGCCAUUUUCGGUCUGGGGGCUCGACAUACUGGGCCCCUUCCCCCGUGUUGUCGGGGGCUUUGAGUACUUGUACGUCGCCAUCGACAAGUUCACAAAGUGGCCCGAAGUGGAAGCAGUGAGGAAGGUGACAGCACAGUCAGCCAUCAAGUUCUUCAAGGGGCUAGUUUGCCGUUUUGGUGUGCCGAACAAGGUCAUCAUCAACAACGGCACGCAGUUCACAAGCCGCACCUUCAUGCAAUACAUUCAGGACCUCGGUAGCAAGGUUUGUUUCGCUUCAGUGGCCCACCCAUGGAGCAACGGCCAGGCGGAGAGGGCGAAUGCUGAAGUACUGCGAGGCCUAAGGACAAGGACUUUUGACAGGCUGCGCAAGUAUGGAAGGCGUUGGAUUGAUGAGUUGCCGGUGGUUCUUUGGUCGAUCAAAACGACGCCAAAUCGAGCCACCGGCCAGACACCCUUUGCCCUGGUGUACGGGGCAGAAGCAGUUUUCCCCACGGGACUCAUAUACGGGUCACCUCGAGUGCUCGCUUAUGAUGAGCUUGAGCAAGAGCAGCUGCGGCAAGAUGACGCGACGCUCCUUGAGAAAUAUCGUCUUCGGGCGGCUGUGCGAGCUGCACGCUACCAGCAAGCCUUGCGCCGCUACCAUAGCCGCAAGGUUCGUGCCCGAAGUCUUGAGGAAGGCGACCUUGUUCUUCGGCGCGUUCAGUCGGCCAAGAAUUCCAACAAGUUGACGCCAAGGUGGGAAGGCCCUUAUCGGGUAAUACGAGUCACCAGGCCUGGCGCAGUCCGCCUGGAGACCGAAGAUGGUAUCCCAGUGAGCAACUCCUGAAACAUCGAACAUCUUCGUAAGUUUUACCGAUGAGGCGCCUCCCGGUAAGCCACCUUUUGUACAAGCCUUGCCGACAAGGCAUGUAACCCUCUGUACAAAGCCAGGCGCAGACCCUGAGCAUAAAUAAAUGAAGCGCUGGCGCCCUAAGUUUUAGCAUGCAUGCUAGGUUGAGUCUCUCCCCCUGUUAGGGUUGAUAGUGCUUAGCGGCGACUAACCCCUAGCACAGAGGUCGAGUAUGCAUCUCUCUGUUCCUUUCCGUCCUCUUUGGUUCACAGGGUGCAUGGACAUUUCUGCUGAGCUAUUUGAAAGAAAGAGAACAAGCCGACGCUCCAACCCCGGCAAGCCAAGGUUGCCGGGGGCUGCGGACCCAGGAUCCGACCACAGCAAGCCAAGGUUGUCGGGGGCUGCAGAUUCAGAUAAGUCCUUUAUCCCCUGUUGUGCAUUUUAGUAUGGAACUGGGACAUAUGAAGCCUCGUUUUAUUCCUAGGCCACCAUGCUCCCCUUUCCUGUGCCCAAGAACUACUUCCUGGGCCGGAACUUGGUUGUAGUUGCGGUGACAAGGAAGCAAACGAAGGGCCUAACCCUACUUCGCCCCAGCCUCCGUCGAGAGCGUGAGUAUGGUUGUAAGUGAAGUGAGGGGACGGCAAGGCCUGUUGCCGGGCGACAAUGUUUAUCUUAAAAAUAACAAGGAUUCAUUCCUUGGCAUGGGACUCGCUCACGCACGAAUAACCCGGCAAGCACCCUUUUUCAUUAAUACGUCCCAAACAGGUACAACCCGUAUGGAAUGCAAACAUGAGCAAGGGGAUUACAAGUUUUAAAUCUAACAAGCGCCCGCAGGCUUAAAAACUAAAAAAAGAUAAUUGCCCCGUAAUCCCCGUUCUUGCCCUUUCCUCCCAGGUGCAGCAGAUGAAGGCAAAAAGGGGGCGACGAGGAACGCGCCGAUGGAGAGCUUGACGAGGAAGACCCUCGGCAGGGCGCAUGACCGAGGGAGGAGGGCGGCGCGGUCAGUCGGAGUCGGCAUCCUCCCGCCUGACGCCCUCGUCGUCGCUGUCGCUGUCCUCCUCGUCACUCUCGCUUGAGGAGGAGUCUUCAUCAUCGGAGGAGCUCUCCACGCGGCACUUUAGGCGAGUCCCCAAGUCCCCAAAGACCUUGACGGAGAGCAGGCCGUUCUCCAUUAAUUUGAAGUAGAGAACGAGCCCCCCCCCCCCGACAGGCUGUGGGCACGAGCGAAGGUCUUCCAUCCGCGACGAAGGUACAUGACGUGAGGGGCGGGGAAGUCGACAUCGACCCGCGUGCUACCAUUCCCGCAGCCCCUCAUAUGCAACCUCAGAGCCUGUGGCGGAUCGAGCUCCAUCUCCCAAGCGAACGGAGUAGGGAGACGAAGACGACGGCGCACUGGCCGGUGCAGCCUGAUGAAGAACUCGCGGGGCUGGUCUCCAACGUGGCCCUCCAUUGGGGGAGGGGCUGCUGGCGGAGGCGAGGCCGGUGCGCCGCCCCGUCCUCCUCUUCCCCGAGCACCACGGCGACCUCGGCCUCGCCCCCUCCCCCUUCCUCUCACGGCCGGCUCCGCCACCAUGAGCUCUUGGGAGGGAGGAGCGCGCUGUCGAGCAGAGACCCUCGUCGCCGCCAUCAGAGUGCCUGCGCGCCCUCUCACCAUAGCGGAAGAAAUGAAGGGGUCAAGGUGGGAGGAGAUGAAUGAUGAAAGGUUGAGGGGUGCCAUUCCCCUCCCUUUCUUAUAAAGGGGCGGGGCCGGGGCCCGGCUGCCCCACUUAACCAAUCCGGUCACCAGGGUCGCGGAGAAUCGAGACCGACCCGCUGCUCCAAUCAGCGACGACCGGUUCCCCGCCUCGUCAUUUAAGGCCCGUGCCCCCCGCGUCCACCGCCUACCAUCUUCGAGGCAUGGCGGACACGUGGCGAGCAAGCCGAAAUAAAGGAGACGAGUGAGGCGACCGUUUUCCACCCCGUGAUCGUGGGGCACGGGCGCUUUGAAAGCCACGACUCAAGUUUACUUAGUAAAUGAGCCGCGCCCCUGCGUUUUUCUCUUUUUUAUGGGGAAGGCGUGGCCGCCUCUUUACCAUUUACCACGACGUGACGCAUGCGUGACGGAACCGCCCCACGCAUGACCACCACGUCACGCGCGACCCCCACGUCACGCGCGACCCCCACGUCGCGCAUUCAGCGCGGGUCGUGGGGAAGCGCAGCGGACGGAAAAGUUACUGCAGUAAAACUCUGCCCCGCCUGCCCGCGCACCGUUCUGGGCCUAGCCCAACAACGUGUUGCGCUUAUGUGUGGCUCAGGCCUGGGGGCUCCUGUCGGUGUAUCAAAGGAGGGCUCUCCUUUGUACCCCUUUACUUGUGCACGGGCAGUCAGAGCCGCACCUGCGGCCACACUUAGCAGGGCAGAGGAGAGAAGCCGGAGCACAAGACAACCAAAGCAACGCCAAGACAGAAACACAAAGAGCAGAGGGGCGAGGUGAACUCCCCCGGCAAGGCCCUGGCCGGGGCGGCCUCCACAGCCCCAGCAAGAGUCUUGCCGGGGCAACUUGCCCGACACUAGCAGAGCCGCCACCCUUGAGCCCAAGCGUUCCAACACCAUCAACCACAUCGGAACCAAGGCUCGGGAGGCACCUUCAUGGUGGCAUGCAGAUCUUGUGAAGACCAAAAGCACACAAGAUCAGAUGAGAAUCAGAAGACGACGAUCCUCGGCAAGAUCCUUGCCGAGGAAACCCACGAGACCCCCGGCAAGACCCUUGCCGGGGAUGACCACGAUGCCGCAGCAAGACCCUUGCCGGGGCCCCGGCAAGACUCUUGCCGAAGACAUCCGCGGAGUCGCCGCCCGGCCCGCGCGUGCCAAGAUUCCACCGCCGUUCCCAUACAGCUGCCAGCACACCAACUAGGCGAGCACCUGCGUGGCGACGGGCGGCCUCUAGGCCAACUCAGCAAGCACCUGUGUGGUGGCAUGCAGAUCUUCGUGAAGACCCAACCACCACGCCAGCUCAGCAGCCUGCCAGCCUACAUGGCGCUGCAUGCCUCGUUGGCCUGGACGCGUGUCGGAGCAAGACGGAGCGGCGACGGACGGGACGGGCCUCGUUACCGUCCCCAAUAAAGCAAGGGGACACCUAAGGAGCGCAUUUAAUGCGUUCUGUCCCGUAAUGGCAGCCAAUAAGCUUGUACACUGUAUACCUUUCCACCUCCUGUGUGCCACUGUGGCAACCCCUUUGUCUAUAAAAGGAGGCCCGCGGCAUACUGAGAGAGGAUUCGGAUCUUUUGGACGAUGCACGCACCGUAGCUAGUUCAAGAGCUCAAGAACACUCAAAUAUACACAAAAAGCAGGACUAGGGUAUUACGCAUCCUCGCAGCCCGAACCUGGGUAAACGAUCCUUAUGCUGGCUUCUAGACCCGUUCUUUGCACAGCCCCGCGCCCGCCAACCGUAGCAAAAGGGAUUCCGAGUGAUCCCGUAGGUGCCGUUUCCCCCGUCAUUAUAUACUCCUCCAUUCCAUAAUUUGAACUAAAACCGUCCUUCUAUUAUGACAAGAAUUAUGGAAUAGAGGGAGCAGCGCUGUAAUGAAUAGCUUAGAGAGUAGGAUUUAACUCACUGGCUACCUGAUCCGUUAAUUAUUUUGAUGUUCAAACCAGAAAGUUGUAGCUUCCAAUGAGACAUCGUUCGCCACUCUCUGAAAUGUAAACACAAUAUGCUGGUUUGAAAUCCUAAACUUCCAACGGGAAAAAAAAGAUUUGCAAAAUAUCUUAGCUUUAGGAAUGCACAAACAUAAACUGGUUCAUAUAGUAUAGAACUAUGGGAAGUGCAUUAUCCAAAACCGAACGGUAAAGAUACAAUAUUAAAAUGGGCACUCAAACCUAAUUCCUUUCAUCUGUCUACAUAACCAAGCAAACAACAACAACAACAACGAAAACUAGCAAAUACCAAAAAAUUCAGAAGAGCCGCCGCACGACCAAGCCGCCAAUCCAUCUGGGCGCUUGCCUCUGUUCCCUUCUCUGUUGUUUCUCAUGCUCUUCAGAUCGAGCCGCAGCCGCGCCACCCGGUCUGCGUCAAUCUGCCCUCCUCUCCACCUAGCUCCCCGCCCUGUCGAUCCCCGGGUGCAGUGCGGCAGCGCAUCACGGCGGCGGCCAGAGAGUGUCUUUUCCCAGUUCAUCAUCCCCGUUUGUUUGUUUGUUCGGCUCAUGGGCCGGCCCACAUCGCCAUGCCCCUCAUCAGAAAAGAAAAGGAAAAACCUAGCCCUAAAUAGGGCUGGACCGGACAGAAAGAC
rnacentral:lncRNA from 1 species